GCUCCCAGUCCUGAUUCUUUAUGCUGGAGCGAUAGCUCAAUUAACAAAUUCCAGAGAAAUUGUACCUUUAUAACAGUUGGCUGAGUUAACUCCUACUCCCCACCUCCCCUAAAAAGCACAAAGAAGGAAAAGAAACUAAUGUUAAUUUACCAUCUUUCAUUCAAUAGGCACUGUGCUAAGGGGGCACAGUUAUUAUUCCACAUGUAUUCUGUCAUUCAAUAAGAAAUCUACAUAGUUGUUGGUUGAUGAAGAGAAGAACACAUAGAGAAUGUCACAUUGUAGAUUUGUAGGUUAUCUGAGAUUGCCCUUAGGGUGUGCAGUGUUUGGCCUGCAUGAAUGCCUGCCGCAGCUGAGUCUACCUUUCCCUCCUUUCUUACCCUGUAUCCUGGAGUGACUAGACCACGGCCUGCCU
rnacentral:lncRNA from 1 species